UAGUCGAUAUUGGCAUACAUUAAGCUAUCAGUUAUCUCAUUAGAAAUUCUGCUAUUGUUUUGGCAGGGGAACCGAGGUAUUGAGAAACAACCUUUUCAACUUCCUAAUUUCAUUGCUGCCACUGAUAUUGAAAAAAUCAGACAAGAGGCUUAUAUUAUGGUUACCGUCUUCGUCGAUAUUUUCUGGCUCGAGGUUGCAGCUGUAAAUUCCUCUCUUGACAUUCCUCAAUUCCCGUCUUUUCCGAAGAACAUAACAUAAUUGAAUGGCACUCCCCCCCCCCCC